rnacentral:rRNA from 1 species
GCAGUCGAGCGGACCGACGGGAGCUUGCUCCCUUAGGUCAGCGGCGGACGGGUGAGUAACACGUGGGUAACCUGCCUGUAAGACUGGGAUAACUCCGGGAAACCGGGGCUAAUACCGGAUGCUUGAUUGAACCGCAUGGUUCAAUCAUAAAAGGUGGCUUUUAGCUACCACUUACAGAUGGACCCGCGGCGCAUUAGCUAGUUGGUGAGGUAACGGCUCACCAAGGCGACGAUGCGUAGCCGACCUGAGAGGGUGAUCGGCCACACUGGGACUGAGACACGGCCCAGACUCCUACGGGAGGCAGCAGUAGGGAAUCUUCCGCAAUGGACGAAAGUCUGACGGAGCAACGCCGCGUGAGUGAUGAAGGUUUUCGGAUCGUAAAACUCUGUUGUUAGGGAAGAACAAGUACCGUUCGAAUAGGGCGGCACCUUGACGGUACCUAACCAGAAAGCCACGGCUAACUACGUGCCAGC